rnacentral:misc_RNA from 1 species
GAUGAAGAACGCAGCGAAAUGCGAUAAGUAGUGUGAAUUGCAGAAUUACCUGAAUCAUCGAAUCUUUGAACGCACAUUGCGCCCCCUGGUAUUCCUGGGGGCAUGCCUGUUCGAGCGUCAUUAACAACCAAUCGGGCGGGGCUUUUGCAUGCUCCCGCUCGGCCAUGGGGGAUGGACGUCGUCGGACGCCCACCCCCGAAAUGCAACGGCGGACGGCCACCCGUGGCACUGCGGCGUAGUAAGUUAACCCUUCGCGCGCGCCCACGGAGUGGACUGCCCGGCCGCUUGAACCCCCACACAUCCUACGGUUGACCUCGGAUCAGGUAGGGAUACCCGCUGAACUUAAGCAUAUCAAUAAGCGGAGA